rnacentral:rRNA from 1 species
CCUACGGGAGGCAGCAGUGAGGAAUAUUGGUCAAUGGUCGGGAGACUGAACCAGCCAAGCCGCGUGAGGGAGGAAGGUACAGAGUAUCGUAAACCUCUUUUGUCAGGGAACAAAGUCUGGGACGCGUCCCCGGAUGAGUGUACCUGAAGAAAAAGCAUCGGCUAACUCCGUGCCAGCAGCCGCGGUAAUACGGAGGAUGCGAGCGUUAUCCGGAUUUAUUGGGUUUAAUGGGUGCGCGGGCGCUCUGUUAAGUCAGCGGUCAAACCCCGGGGCUCAACCCCGCAGCGCCGUUGAAACUGGCAGUCUCGAGUUGGAGAGAAGUAUGCGGAAUGUGCGGUGUAGCGGUGAAAUGCAUAGAUAUCGCGCAGAACUCCGAUUGCGAAGGCAGCCUGCCGGCUCCACACUGACGCUGAGGCACGAAAGCGUGGGUAUCGAACAGGAUUAGAUACCCUAGUAGUC